UUAAGCGACUAAGCGUACACGGUGGAUGCCCUGGCAGUCAGAGGCGAUGAAGGACGUGCUAAUCUGCGAAAAGCGUCGGUAAGGUGAUAUGAACCGUUAUAGCCGGCGAUGUCCGAAUGGGGAAACCCAGUGUGAUUCGUCACACUAUCGUUAACUGAAUACAUAGGUUAACGAGGCGAACCGGGGGAACUGAAACAUCUAAGUACCCCGAGGAAAAGAAAUCAACCGAGAUUCCCCCAGUAGCGGCGAGCGAACGGGGAGCAGCCCAGAGUCUGAAUCAGCUUGUGUGUUAGUGGAACGGUCUGGAAAGUCCGACGGUACAGGGUGAUAGUCCCGUACACCAAAAUGCACAGGCUGUGAACUCGAAGAGUAGGGCGGGACACGUGGUAUCCUGUCUGAAUAUGGGGGGACCAUCCUCCAAGGCUAAAUACUCCUGACUGACCGAUAGUGAACCAGUACCGUGAGGGAAAGGCGAAAAGAACCCCGGCGAGGGGAGUGAAAAAGAACCUGAAACCGUGUACGUACAAGCAGUGGGAGCACCUUCGGGUGUGACUGCGUACCUUUUGUAUAAUGGGUCAGCGACUUAUAUUCUGUAGCAAGGUUAACCGUAUAGGGGAGCCGCAGGGAAACCGAGUCUUAACUGGGCGUUAAGUUGCAGGGUAUAGACCCGAAACCCGGUGAUCUAGCCAUGGGCAGGUUGAAGGUUGGGUAACACUAACUGGAGGACCGAACCGACUAAUGUUGAAAAAUUAGCGGAUGACUUGUGGCUGGGGGUGAAAGGCCAAUCAAACCGGGAGAUAGCUGGUUCUCCCCGAAAGCUAUUUAGGUAGCGCCUCGUGAAUUCAUCUUCGGGGGUAGAGCACUGUUUCGGCUAGGGGGUCAUCCCGACUUACCAACCCGAUGCAAACUACGAAUACCGAAGAAUGUUAUCACGGGAGACACACGGCGGGUGCUAACGUCCGUCGUGAAGAGGGAAACAACCCAGACCGCCAGCUAAGGUCCCAAAGUCACAGUUAAGUGGGAAACGAUGUGGGAAGGCACAGACAGCCAGGAUGUUGGCUUAGAAGCAGCCAUCAUUUAAAGAAAGCGUAAUAGCUCACUGGUCGAGUCGGCCUGCGCGGAAGAUGUAACGGGGCUAAACUGUGCACCGAAGCUGCGGCAGCGACACUAUGUGUUGUUGGGUAGGGGAGCGUUCUGUAAGCCUGCGAAGGUGGCCUGUGAGGGUUGCUGGAGGUAUCAGAAGUGCGAAUGCUGACAUAAGUAACGAUAAUGCGGGUGAAAAGCCCGCACGCCGGAAGACCAAGGGUUCCUGUCCAACGUUAAUCGGGGCAGGGUGAGUCGACCCCUAAGGCGAGGCCGAAAGGCGUAGUCGAUGGGAAACAGGUUAAUAUUCCUGUACUUGGUGUUACUGCGAAGGGGGGACGGAGAAGGCUAUGUUAGCCGGGCGACGGUUGUCCCGGUUUAAGCAUGUAGGCGGAGGUUCCAGGUAAAUCCGGUACCUUUUUAACGCUGAGGUGUGAUGACGAGGCACUACGGUGCUGAAGUAACAAAUGCCCUGCUUCCAGGAAAAGCCUCUAAGCAUCAGGUAACAUUGAAUCGUACCCCAAACCGACACAGGUGGUCAGGUAGAGAAUACCAAGGCGCUUGAGAGAACUCGGGUGAAGGAACUAGGCAAAAUGGUGCCGUAACUUCGGGAGAAGGCACGCUGAUAUGUAGGUGAAGCCCCUGCGGGUGGAGCUGAAAUCAGUCGAAGAUACCAGCUGGCUGCAACUGUUUAUUAAAAACACAGCACUGUGCAAACACGAAAGUGGACGUAUACGGUGUGACGCCUGCCCGGUGCCGGAAGGUUAAUUGAUGGGGUUAUCCGUAAGGAGAAGCUCUUGAUCGAAGCCCCGGUAAACGGCGGCCGUAACUAUAACGGUCCUAAGGUAGCGAAAUUCCUUGUCGGGUAAGUUCCGACCUGCACGAAUGGCGUAAUGAUGGCCAGGCUGUCUCCACCCGAGACUCAGUGAAAUUGAACUCGCUGUGAAGAUGCAGUGUACCCGCGGCAAGACGGAAAGACCCCGUGAACCUUUACUAUAGCUUGACACUGAACAUUGAGCCUUGAUGUGUAGGAUAGGUGGGAGGCUUUGAAGCGUGGACGCCAGUCUGCGUGGAGCCAACCUUGAAAUACCACCCUUUAAUGUUUGAUGUUCUAACGUUGGCCCCUUAUCGGGGUUGCGGACAGUGUCUGGUGGGUAGUUUGACUGGGGCGGUCUCCUCCCAAAGAGUAACGGAGGAGCACGAAGGUUAGCUAAUCCUGGUCGGACAUCAGGAGGUUAGUGCAAUGGCAUAAGCUAGCUUGACUGCGAGCGUGACGGCGCGAGCAGGUGCGAAAGCAGGUCAUAGUGAUCCGGUGGUUCUGAAUGGAAGGGCCAUCGCUCAACGGAUAAAAGGUACUCCGGGGAUAACAGGCUGAUACCGCCCAAGAGUUCAUAUCGACGGCGGUGUUUGGCACCUCGAUGUCGGCUCAUCACAUCCUGGGGCUGAAGUAGGUCCCAAGGGUAUGGCUGUUCGCCAUUUAAAGUGGUACGCGAGCUGGGUUUAGAACGUCGUGAGACAGUUCGGUCCCUAUCUGCCGUGGGCGCUGGAGAAUUGAGGGGGGGCUGCUCCUAGUACGAGAGGACCGGAGUGGACGCAUCACUGGUGUUCGGGUUGUCAUGCCAAUGGCAUUGCCCGGUAGCUAAAUGCGGAAGAGAUAAGUGCUGAAAGCAUCUAAGCACGAAACUUGCCCCGAGAUGAGUUCUCCCUGACUCCUUGAGAGUCCUGAAGGAACGUUAAAGACGAUGACGUUGAUAGGUCGGGUGUGUAAGCGUAGCGAUACGUUGAGCUAACCGAUACUAAUGAACCGUGAGGCUUAACCUU
rnacentral:rRNA from 1 species